rnacentral:rRNA from 1 species
AACCCGCCUACAUGAAGUCGGAAUUGCUAGUAAUCGUGGAUCAGCAUGCCACGGUGAAUACGUUCCCGGCCUUGUACACACCGCCCGUCAAACCAUGAGAGUUGGCAACACCCGAAGCCUGUAGCUUAACCGCAAGGAUGGCGCAGUCGAAGGUGGGGUCAUGAUUAGGGUUAAGUCGUAACAAGGUACC